GACGAACGCUGGCGGCGUGCUUAACACAUGCAAGUCGAACGGAAAGGCCCUGCUUUUGUGGGGUGCUCGAGUGGCGAACGGGUGAGUAACACGUGAGUAACCUGCCCUUGACUGUGGGAUAACUUCAGGAAACUGGGGCUAAUACCGGAUAGGAGCUCCUGCUGCAUGGGGGGGGUUGGAAAGUUUCGGCGGUUGGGGAUGGACUGGCGGCUUAUCAGCUUGUUGGUGGGGUAGUGGCUUACCAAGGCUUUGACGGGUAGCCGGCCUGAGAGGGUGGACGGCGACAUGGGGACUGAGAGACGGAGCAGUCGCGUACGGGAGGCAACGGGGGAGAGUAUGACACAGUAGGGGGACGCGUGAGACAAAGGCGCCGCGUGCGGGAUGACGGCCUUCGGGUUGAAAACCGCUUUCGCCUGUGACGGACCGUGAGUGACGGUAAUGGAUAAAGAAGCACCGGCUAACUACGUG
rnacentral:rRNA from 1 species